rnacentral:rRNA from 1 species
GACGAACGCUGGCGGCGUGCUUAACACAUGCAAGUCGAGCGGUAAGGCCCUUUCGGGGGUACACGAGCGGCGAACGGGUGAGUAACACGUGGGUGACCUGCCUUUAGCUCUGGGAUAAGCCUGGGAAACUGGGUCUAAUACCGGAUACGACUCCGCGGUGCAUGCUGUGGGGUGGAAAGCCUUGUGCGGCUGGAGAUGGGCCCGCGGCCUAUCAGCUUGUUGGUGGGGUGAUGGCCUACCAAGGCGACGACGGGUAGCCGGCCUGAGAGGGCGACCGGCCACACUGGGACUGAGACACGGCCCAGACUCCUACGGGAGGCAGCAGUGGGGAAUCUUGCGCAAUGGGCGAAAGCCUGACGCAGCGACGCCGCGUGAGGGAUGACGGCCUCGGUUGUAA